CACGUAGGAAGACUAGUGUUUAUUCAUGCUUUAAUUAGGUUUAAAGGGUACCUAGACGGGAAACUCAAAGCCAUAACAGGAACUAAAUUUUCCGUAGAGUUUUGAGAGAGAAGGGGCGAAUUUCCGGAGGAAGUUGAUUAUUUUGAGUGGAUAGCUGGGAAAGGCACGGGUAAGCGGGCGAAAGGCUACCUUUUAUGUAAAAACUGACGUUGAGGGACGAGCCUUGGGUAACGAGAGG
rnacentral:rRNA from 1 species